GCUCUCAUAGCUCAGUUGGUAGAGCGCGGCACUAGUAAUGCCGAGGUCUACGGUUCAAAUCCGUAUGGGAGCA
rnacentral:tRNA from 1 species